GUUUUUGUAGUUGAGUCACAACGGCAGUUUUUCGGAUUGCAGGCCCGGCGAUGUCGGUAAAAACU
rnacentral:tRNA from 1 species